rnacentral:rRNA from 1 species
AGAGAAUACCAAGGCGCUUGAGAGAACUCGGGUGAAGGAACUAGGCAAAAUGGUGCCGUAACUUCGGGAGAAGGCACGCUGAUAUGUAGGUGAAGCGGUUUACCCGUGGAGCUGAAAUCAGUCGAAGAUACCAGCUGGCUGCAACUGUUUAUUAAAAACACAGCACUGUGCAAACACGAAAGUGGACGUAUACGGUGUGACGCCUGCCCGGUGCCGGAAGGUUAAUUGAUGGGGUUAUCCGUAAGGAGAAGCUCUUGAUCGAAGCCCCGGUAAACGGCGGCCGUAACUAUAACGGUCCUAAGGUAGCGAAAUUCCUUGUCGGGUAAGUUCCGACCUGCACGAAUGGCGUAAUGAUGGCCAGGCUGUCUCCACCCGAGACUCAGUGAAAUUGAACUCGCUGUGAAGAUGCAGUGUACCCGCGGCAAGACGGAAAGACCCCGUGAACCUUUACUAUAGCUUGACACUGAACACUGGUCCUUGAUGUGUAGGAUAGGUGGGAGGCUUUGAAGUGUGGACGCCAGUCUGCAUGGAGCCAUCCUUGAAAUACCACCCUUUAAUGGCUGGUGUUCUAACGUGGACCCGUAAUCCGGGUUGCGGACAGUGUCUGGUGGGUAGUUUGACUGGGGCGGUCUCCUCCUAAAGAGUAACGGAGGAGCACGAAGGUUAGCUAAUCCUGGUCGGACAUCAGGAGGUUAGUGCAAAGGCAUAAGCUAGCUUGACUGCGAGAGUGACGGCUCGAGCAGGUGCGAAAGCAGGUCUUAGUGAUCCGGUGGUUCUGAAUGGAAGGGCCAUCGCUCAACGGAUAAAAGGUACUCCGGGGAUAACAGGCUGAUACCGCCCAAGAGUUCAUAUCGACGGCGGUGUUUGGCACCUCGAUGUCGGCUCAUCACAUCCUGGGGCUGAAGUAGGUCCCAAGGGUAUGGCUGUUCGCCAUUUAAAGUGGUACGCGAGCUGGGUUUAGAACGUCGUGAGACAGUUCGGUCCCUAUCUGCCGUGGGCGCUGGAGAAUUGAGGGGGGCUGCUCCUAGUACGAGAGGACCGGAGUGGACGCAUCACUGGUGUUCGGGUUGUCAUGCCAAUGGCAUUGCCCGGUAGCUAAAUGCGGAAGAGAUAAGUGCUGAAAGCAUCUAAGCACGAAACUUGCCCCGAGAUGAGUUCUCCCUGAGACUAUAAGUCUCCUGAAGGAACGUUAAAGACGAUGACGUUGAUAGGUCGGGUGUGUAAG